rnacentral:sRNA from 2 species
CAUUACUUCAUUGGGGAGUAGCCGCUAUUUGCUGAUGCAAAUAGGUGAUGGUCAACAUAAUUGUUCAACAGAACAUGGUCAUCAUAGCAAAGAACCAAUUCAGCUUUUCAAAAAGCUUUCUUUUGUUGGCAAGACCUUUGAU